GAUCAGGCUGUUGGUGAGGUAAUGGCCCACCAAACCUGUAACCGGUACGGGCUCUGAGAGGAGGAGCCCGGAGAUGGGCACUGAGACAAGGGCCCGGGCCCUAUGGGGCGCAGCAGGCGCGAAACCUCUGCAAUAGGCGAAAGCUUGACAGGGUUACUCUGAGUGAUUUCCGUUAAGGAGAUCUUUUGGCACCUCUAAAAAUGGUGCAGAAUAAGGGGUGGGCAAGUCUGGUGUCAGCCGCCGCGGUAAUACCAGCACCCCGAGUGGUCGGGACGUUUAUUGGGCCUAAAGCAUCCGUAGCCGGUUCUACAAGUCUUCCGUUAAAUCCACCUGCUUAACAGAUGGGCUGCGGAAGAUACUAUAGAGCUAGGAGGCGGGAGAGGCAAGCGGUACUCGAUGGGUAGGGGUAAAAUCCGUUGAUCCAUUGAAGACCACCAGUGGCGAAGGCGGCUUGCCAGAACGCGCUCGACGGUGAGGGAUGAAAGCUGGGGGAGCAAACCGGAUUAGAUACCCGGGUAGUCCCAGCUGUAAACGAUGCAGACUCGGUGAU
rnacentral:rRNA from 1 species